rnacentral:misc_RNA from 1 species
GAUGAAGAACGCAGCGAAAUGCGAUAAGUAAUGUGAAUUGCAGAAUUCCGUGAAUCAUCGAAUCUUUGAACGCAUAUUGCGCCCUCUGGUAUUCCGGAGGGCAUGCCUGUCCGAGCGUCAUUACUACCUUCAAGCACGGCUUGGUUGUUGAGCCAAUUGUCCUGUUGAUGGACAGGCUUAAAAUGUAGUGGCGAUGCCGAGUCCUGUGCCUGAGCAUAUGGAGCCUGUCACGUGCUUUAGUGGCCCAGCCGGCAUUUUUGUCGUUUAAACCUUGAAAAAGAUUUGACCUCGGAUCAGGUAAGGAUACCCGCUGAACUUAAGCAUAUCAAUAAGCGGAGGA